AGCAGCCGCGGUAAUUCCAGCUCCAAUAGCGUAUAUUAAAGUUGUUGCAGUUAAAAAGCUCGUAGUUGAAUUUCGGGAUCAAAGGAUCGGUCAUGCCUUGGUAUGUACUGGUUUUAUUGGUUCUCACCUUCUAAAGAACCAUAAUGUCAUUCAUUUGAUGUUAUGGGGAAUUAGGACUGUUACCUUGAAAAAUUAGAGUGUUUAAAGCAGGCUUACGCUUGAAUACAUUAGCAUGGAAUAAUGAAAUAGGACAUCAGAUUCUAUUUUGUUGGUUUCUAGGAUCGAUGUAAUGAUUAAUAGGGAUAGUUGGGGGCAUUAGUAUUCAAUUGUCAGAGGUGAAAUUCUUGGAUUUAUUGAAGACUAACUACUGCGAAAGCAUUUGCCAAGGAUGUUUUCAUUAAUCAAGAACGAAAGUUAGGGGAUCGAAGACGAUCAGAUACCGUCGUAGUCUUAACCAUAAACUAUGCCGACUAGGGAUCGGAUGAUGU
rnacentral:misc_RNA from 1 species